AUGAACGCUGGCGGCGUGCCUAAUACAUGCAAGUCGAGCGAACGGACGAGAAGCUUGCUUUUCUGAUGUUAGCGGCGGACGGGUGAGUAACACGUGGAUAACCUACCUAUAAGACUGGGAUAACUUCGGGAAACCGGAGCUAAUACCGGAUAAUAUUUUGAACCGCAUGGUUCAAAAGUGAAAGACGGUCUUGCUGUCACUUAUAGAUGGAUCCGCGCUGCAUUAGCUAGUUGGUAAGGUAACGGCUUACCAAGGCAACGAUGCAUAGCCGACCUGAGAGGGUGAUCGGCCACAAUGGAACUGAGACACGGUCCAGACUCCUACGGGAGGCAGCAGUAGGGAAUCCUCCGCAAUGGGCGAAAGCCUGACGGAGCAACGCCGCGUGAGUGAUGAAGGUCUUCGGAUCGUAAAACUCUGUUAUUAGGGAAGAACAUAUGUGUAAGUAACUGUGCACAUCUUGACGGUACCUAAUCAGAAAGCCACGGCUAACUACGUG
rnacentral:rRNA from 1 species